rnacentral:rRNA from 1 species
GACGUAGGGCGCGAGCGUUGUCCGGAUUUAUUGGGCGUAAAGAGCGUGUAGGCGGCUGGGUAGGUCCGUUGUGAAAACUCGAGGCUCAACCUCGAGACGCCGAUGGAAACCCUCCAGCCUAGAGUCCGGAAGAGGAGAGUGGAAUUCCUGGUGUAGCGGUGAAAUGCGCAGAUAUCAGGAAGAACACCCGUGGCUAAGGCGGCUCUCUAGUACGGUACUGACGCUGAGACGCGAAAGCGUGGGGAGCGAACAGG